AUGUCAAGAAGCUGUUAUAAGUUGACAUCAUUCUGAAAAGCACAGAGUCUGAAAGGACUGAGUAUA
rnacentral:snoRNA from 1 species